rnacentral:sRNA from 1 species
GUCACUGGCCAAGCCCUCCUCUGUCCUUCUAGGCCGUACUGUGGGCGACGACCCUCAGGGCCUGUUCCAGAAACACCGGGAAGAGGAGCUGGAAGAGAGAAGGAAGUUGUACCGGUGAGCCCUCCUCCCCUGACCCCACGUGAGCUGCUGAUGCUUCCAGCACCCACGCCUGAUUUCCUUCCUGCCCCACAGGUGGGGAAACUGGAAGGAUGGGUUAAUUCUGAAUGUGGCUGGGGCCAAACUAUGUGACCUCCCUGUGGAUGAGCGAUUUCUGGAAGACAAGAGAGUUGACUUUGAGGUUUCGCUGGCCAAGGGAGCGUGUGCGGGACUCCUGGAAGGAAGAUGCCUUAUUUGGGUACCAGUUUCUUAAUGGUGCCAACCCCGUGGUGCUGAGGCGCUCUGUUCACCUUCCUGCUCGCCUAGUGUUCCCUCCAGGCAUGGAGGAACUGCAGGCUCAGCUGGAGAAGGAGCUGGAGGGAGGCACAUUGUUUGAAGCUGACUUCUCCCUGCUGGAUGGGAUCAAGGCCAACGUCAUUCUCUGUAGCCAGCAGCACCUGGCUGCCCC